rnacentral:lncRNA from 1 species
GUAUAAAAUAAAUGACACUGAGUAUUAUUUUUGGGGAAAAGAAUGACACUGAAAGCUUUUUCUUUAUUACCUGCAGAGGAGAAGAAAGUAAAGAGCACUAAAGUGGAAGCAAAACUUAAAAAGGAAGUGAAGGAUGGAAAAGGAGAAACAAAGGCGGCCGAGAAAGUCAAGCAGGCAGAGAUUAAACCAACAGAAACUGGGCUAAUAAAGGCCAAAACGAAAGUUAAGGAGGAGAAAGCUCUUCAGACUGUAACUAAAUCGGACAAGAAAGAUCAAUAUGCGUUCUGUCGCUAUGUGAUUGACAUGUUUGCGCAAGGGGAUUUUUAUCCAGGCACACUCUCUACUCAUGGUUUGAUUUUGUUUUCAUUUUAAUCACUUAGAAGUUAUUUUGUGUGCAUAGUUUUAUGGUGUUCUAGUUUCAGUUAAACCACUUGCAUUUCACAGUACUCUGGACUCACUGCUGGAUGAUCUUCAAGUUGCCUAGUUGGCAACAAAGACAGUGGGAGAACAGAUGUGAUAUUAUUCACAGUUUAGACCUUCUAAAAUCUUUGCAUGGAAGUACCCAAUUACUCUAUGGAGCUUAUACCACUACAUACCUCUUUCUGAUAACAGCUAGACUACAAAGGAAUGUGGCCGUAUCUUUUCCUUU